CGUAGGGCGCAAGCGUUAUCCGGAAUUAUUGGGCGUAAAGAGCUCGUAGGCGGUUUGUCGCGUCUGCCGUGAAAGUCCGGGGCUCAACUCCGGAUCUGCGGUGGGUACGGGCAGACUAGAGUGAUGUAGGGGAGACUGGAAUUCCUGGUGUAGCGGUGAAAUGCGCAGAUAUCAGGAGGAACACCGAUGGCGAAGGCAGGUCUCUGGGCAUUAACUGACGCUGAGGAGCGAAAGCAUGGGGAGCGAACAGGAUUAGAUACCCUGGUAGUCCAUGCCGUAAACGUUGGGCACUAGGUGUGGGGGACAUUCCACGUUUUCCGCGCCGUAGCUAACGCAUUAAGUGCCCCGCCUGGGGAGUACGGCCGCAAAGGCUA
rnacentral:rRNA from 1 species